AAUGGGCGAAAGCCUGAUGGAGCAACGCCGCGUGUGUGAUGAAGGUCUUCGGAUCGUAAAGCACUUUCGACCGGGACGAAAAACCUCUGGCUAACAUCCAGGGGCCUGACGGUACCGGGAGAAGAAGCACCGGCUAACUCUGUGCCAGCAGCCGCGGUAAUACAGAGGGUGCAAGCGUUGUUCGGAAUUAUUGGGCGUAAAGCGCGUGUAGGCGGCUUGGCAAGUCAGAUGUGAAAGCCCAUGGCUCAACCAUGGAAGUGCGUCUGAAACUGCCGAGCUUGAGUGCCGGAGAGGAUGGCGGAAUUCCGCAAGUAGAGGUGAAAUUCGUAGAUAUGCGGAGGAACACCGGUGGCGAAGGCGGCCAUCUGGACGGCAACUGACGCUGAGACGCGAAAGCGUGGGGAGCAAA
rnacentral:rRNA from 1 species